rnacentral:rRNA from 1 species
AUGAACGCUGGCGGCGUGCCUAAUACAUGCCAGUCGAGCGAACAGAUGAGGAGCUUGCUCCUCUGACGUUAGCGGCGGACGGGUGAGUAACACGUGGAUAACCUACCUAUAAGACUGGGAUAACUUCGGGAAACCGGAGCUAAUACCGGAUAAUAUAUUGAACCGCAUGGUUCAAUAGUGAAAGACGGUUUUGCUGUCACUUAUAGAUGGAUCCGCGCCGCAUUAGCUAGUUGGUAAGGUAACGGCUUACCAAGGCAACGAUGCGUAGCCGACCUGAGAGGGUGAUCGGCCACACUGGAACUGAGACACGGUCCAGACUCCUACGGGAGGCAGCAGUAGGGAAUCUUCCGCAAUGGGCGAAAGCCUGACGGAGCAACGCCGCGUGAGUGAUGAAGGUCUUCGGAUCGUAAAACUCUGUUAUUAGGGAAGAACAAAUGUGUAAGUAACUAUGCACGUCUUGACGGUACCUAAUCAGAAAGUCACGGCUAACUACGUG